AAAGACAAGUAGAAGCACCCGCUUCUCACCUGUUCGACGCCAUCAGGCAGUUGGCUGGUUUUAACCGAUUCAUAUAGACGAUUGGAGAAGUGUGGGUGCUGUAUUGCCCACGCUUUUUUUAGACG
rfam:Virgibacillus pantothenticus strain DSM 26 super13, whole genome shotgun sequence.